AUUGAACGCUGGCGGCAUGCCUUACACAUGCAAGUCGAACGGCAGCGGACCUUCGGUGCCGGCGAGUGGCGAACGGGUGAGUAAUAUAUCGGAACGUAUCUUUCAGUGGGGGAGUAACGUAGCGAAAGUUACGCUAAUACCGCAUAUUCUGUGAGCAGGAAAGCAGGGGAUCGCAAGACCUUGCGCUGAUUGAGCGGCCGAUAUCAGAUUAGCUAGUUGGUGAGGUAAAGGACUCACCAAGGCGACGAUCUGUAGCGGGUCUGAGAGGAUGAUCCGCCACACUGGAACUGAGACACGGUCCAGACUCCUACGGGA
rnacentral:rRNA from 1 species